CCGCCAUCCUCCCCAAACACAUCUCGACUCUGAAAGUGACCCUAUGAAGGCCAUGACUGCUAAGCAGCAGGCAGAACAGACACGUUACUGUGAUGCAAGGUGUGAAAGCUGCUGAUGUUUACAGGAAACAGAUUGGAACAAGAUAUCAGCACAGACUGAGGCAACCAUGGAGAAGAUUGUAUGCUGAGAUGGAAGACCCAAAAGAUUGAAGCA
rnacentral:lncRNA from 1 species